AUGCCUAAACUGGAAAAGUCCUAUCUCAGCUGCCAGCCAACAUUCUCUGUUAGCCAUCUAUGCCAGUUUGUUGCUCUUCAGCUUUCACGUCAAGCCGCAGAGGUGGAGAUAUACUUCAGGAAGAACUCCAUAAACGGGUCGCUUAAAACCGAAGACACCAGCGCAGACAACGAGGCAAAAAUGGAGCGGCUCGACGGCCUGGAAAGACUCAAGGAAGAGAGUUCGCUUUUCGAGCUUUACCCUAUGCUCGCCUCUGGUGUUGGAGACCUGGAGCUAUUGUACUCUGUGAAAGCGCAAGGCUAG
rnacentral:rRNA from 1 species